rnacentral:rRNA from 1 species
UACGGGAGGCAGCGAGGGGGAAUAUUGCACAAUGGGCGAAAGCCUGAUGCAGCUAUGCCGCGUGUAUGAAGAAGGCCUUAGGGUUGUAAAGUACUUUCAUCGGGGAGGAAAAAACAAAACUAAUAAUUUUAUUUCUUGACGUUACCCGAAAAAGAAGCACCGGCUAACUCCGUGCCAGCAGCCGCGGUAAUACGGAGGGUGCUAGCGUUAAUCAGAAUUACUGGGCGUAAAGAGCACGUAGGUGGUUUUUUUAAAGUCAGAUGUGAAAUCCCUGGGCUUAACCUGGAACUGCAUUUUGAAACUGAAAUACUAGAGUAUCGUAGAGGGAGGUAGAAUUCUAGGUGUAGCGGUGAAAUGCGUAGAUAUCUGGAGGAAUCCUGUGGCGAAAGCGGCCUCCUAAACGAAUACUGACACUGAGGGUGCGAAAGCGUGGGGAGCAAACAGGGAUUAGAUCCCGU